CAAGCCCCAUGCUGGGUGUGGAGAUUACUUAAAAAAAGAAAAUCUUAAAAAAAAAAAAAAAAGGGAAGACUCAGAUUUAAUGUAAGAAAGGACUUGGCAUCCAUGGGGGGUGGUGAGCCCAGAAUAUCUGACUGGGAUGUCUAGUUUUGCGUUCUAGGACAUUUGAUCAAUGCCCUACUCUGCCGAUCAGGGCAAUCCAGCUUGGAAGAGGCAAGUGCAGAGCAAAGGCUGGAGAGGUAACCUUCCAAGCUUCUAUGACUCGCCACUCACAGGCCAACCCUCUGAAGGGCUCCUAGUAGUUAGAAUAGUCAUAUUAUUACUUUCUAUUUGAGGAGUGCUUUAUGGUUUCUGCAGAGAGGUUACGUCCAUUAUCUCAUCAGAUCUUCCAACAAUCCUGUGAGGCAGGCAAGACAGGAAUUAUUCCCAAUAAAGGAAGUUUGGGCCAAGGAAUGUUUAAUGGCUCAGUCAAUCACUCAGCCCAGAAAACAAUGGAGGGUUUGACUCCGAAAAACUGCUACAUGUUCCUGUGGAGUAAAAACAGGUAGCCUUGGCAAGCGAGAGAGAAUGAUUUUAAUAUUCAGUUCUACAUUUGCACCUCCUUUAUUUCACGUUUCCUUCCCCCACCCCCCCUUUUUUCAAUCCAGGACCCUAGGACUCGUCCCCGUGUAUUCGAGGCCUUGGUGACUGGUACUUUGGAAGGCGUUGGGUCUUGGGCUAGCAAGGAGAUCCCGGUUUCUCUGCUGUCCCUUAACUUUUCCCUUUCAUGCAUCGACCCACAGAAGAGGGCUACCGGCCAGUGUCCUCGCUCAACAUGUCACAAGAAGGAGCGUUUGCUCUCAGCCAGACUCCCUCAUUCCAUGCCUCCCUUCUUCAGCUGCAGACAACAUUUAGCACCUACAUCUGGCCUUACCGGAAGAUCAGGCUUCUUUCACCCUGGUUUCCUGGCCUUGGAUAGUCCUUCGCUAAUUUCUUCAUCAAGAGAGUGGACAAAGGCAAACCCCAAUAAAAACGAGUCCUGGAUUUGAAGGGCCACACGGCCAGAACUACAAUGUGGGUCUCCAGGAUUCAAGUCCGGGACUUCUCCGUGAUACUGCGCUGCAGCCCUUUUCCGGAUACCCUACAAAGCAAAAUGGACAGAUGUGGUCUCUGCUCUCUGGAAGUUUGGACUCAGAUGGACAAUUCUGGCAAACAUAAAAGGACAAAGUGAUUACGGUCAACCGCAUCUGCCAAUAAAUAAAUGAGUUAAAUCGAUAAGGAAA